AAAAGCAUAUUUAAAACAUAAUAAUAGACUUUUAAUCUAACAUUGUAGAACACACACUACUGCUUUAA
rnacentral:tRNA from 1 species